AAUCAACGCUGGCGGCGUGCCUCAGACAUGCAAGUCGAACGAUUAAAGCUCUCUUCGGAGAGUGUAUAGAGUGGCGCACGGGUGAGUAACACGUAAGUAAUCUACCCUCGAGUGGGGAAUAACAACCGGAAACGGUUGCUAAUACCGCAUAAUGCAGCGGCACCGCAAGGUGACAGGUUGUUAAAGAUUUAUCGCUUGAGGAGGAGCUUGCGGCAGAUUAGCUAGUUGGUAGGGUAACGGCUUACCAAGGCUACGAUCUGUAACCGGUCUAAGAGGACGGUCGGUCACACUGACACUGAAUAACGGGUCAGACUCCUACGGGAGGCAGCAGUCGGGAAUUUUGGGCAAUGGGCGAAAGCCUGACCCAGCAACGCCGCGUGAAGGAUGAAGUAUUUCGGUAUGUAAACUUCGAAAGAAUAGGAAGAAUUAAUGACGGUACUAUUUAUAAGGUCCGGCUAACUACGUG
rnacentral:rRNA from 1 species